rnacentral:rRNA from 1 species
GAUGAACGCUGGCGGCGUGCCUAACACUUGCAAGUCGAGCGAUUCUCUUCGGAGAAGAGCGGCGGACGGGUGAGUAACGCGUGGGUAACCUGCCCUGUACACACGGAUAACAUACCGAAAGGUAUGCUAAUACGAGAUAAUAUGCUUCUAUCGCAUGGUAGAAGUAUCAAAGCUCUGGCGGUACAGGAUGGACCCGCGUCUGAUUAGCUAGUUGGUAAGGUAACGGCUUACCAAGGCGACGAUCAGUAGCCGACCUGAGAGGGUGAUCGGCCACAUUGGAACUGAGACACGGUCCAAACUCCUACGGGAGGCAGCAGUGGGGAAUAUUGCACAAUGGGCGAAAGCCUGAUGCAGCAACGCCGCGUGAGCGAUGGAGGCCUUCGGGUCGUAAAGCUCUGUCCUCAAGGAAGAUAAUGACGGUACUUGAGGAGGAAGCCCCGGCUAACUACGUGCCAGCCGCCGCAGUAA